ACCCGCUGAAUUUAAGCAUAUAAGUAGGCGGUGGAAAAUGAACCAAAUGGGAUUCCUUGAGUAAUUGCGAAUGAACGAGGAAAUGCUCACCUUGGAAAACUGGGUACCUUGUCCCCUGAAUUGUAUUUUUGAAAUGUACUGCCAAUGGAUGUGCAGGUGCAAGCCUAUUGAAAGAAAGUGCCAUUGUGGGUGACAUUCCUUUUGCCAACUGUAAUCUUCCAUGCGCGGUGUACAUUUAAUGAGUCACAUUCCUUAGCACUGGAAUGCAAAUGUGGUGGUAAAUUCCAUGUAAAGGAAAAUAUAUCAUUGAGACUGAUAGCAAACAAGUACCAUGAGGGAGAUAUGAAAAGGACUUUGAAAAGAGAAUUAAAAGAGCCUGGAAUUGUUGAGCAGAAAGCAAACAGACAUGUGCAGAAUGGUGAGACUGCUGCAUUCCUUCCUGCAGAUUGUGUGUGGAAGUGUGUGCAAUGGUUCUUGCCUUGAACACCAGCUUUGCUACUUGAAAUCAUUAUUCAUGUGCAUGAAUGAAAAUUUGUUUUCGGGCAAUGCAAUGCAUGCAUAUGAUAUGAUAUUGGGUUGCUUUGUGGCACAUGGCCUGGCUUGGUGUCCUUGGAUUAUGGAGGGUGCCCUUCCUGGGUGUCUGUCAUGACCUUGUGUUGUGUUGCUGGAAAUUGGUUCUGCUUGACCCGUCUUGAAACACGGACCAAGGAGUCUAACAGAUGUGCAAGCUUGUGGGUGGAAUGCCUUCUGGCGCAAUGAAAGCAUUUGCUUGGAUUCUUGCACCAGCAGCCGACUGAUUAAUAGAAAGAGGUUUGAGUUUGAGCACAUCUAUUAGGACUCGAAAGAUGGUGAACUAUGCCUGAUUAGAAUGAAUUUAAAGGAAACUCUGGUGAAGGUUCGUAUCGUUACUGACGUGCAAAUCGUUCGUCAUACUUGGGUAUAGGGGCGAAAGACUAAUCGAACCAUCUAGUAGCUGGUUCCCUCCGAAGUUUCCCUCAGGAUAGCUGAUUUUGAAAAAGUCUUAUCAGGUACAGCGAAUGAUAAGAGGAAUUGGGGGCGUGCUGUUCUUGACCUAUUCUCAAACUUUAAAUGGGUAAGAAGCAAUGGUUGCUUUAAUGAACCUUUGGAGCAGAUGAUAUUUUCAGGUUGGCCAUUUUUGGUAAGCAGAACUGGCGAUGAGGGAUGAACCUAUCGUUGGGUUAAGGUGCUUAAUGGCUCGCUCACGAGAUACCAGAAAAGGGUGUUGCUUCAUUUUAACAGCAGGACGGUGGUCAUGGAAGUCGGAAUCCGCUAAGGAGUGUGUAACAACUCACCUGCCGAAUGGACUAACCCCGAAAAUGGAUGGCGCUAUAGCGGGUGGCUGGUACCCAACCAUUGGUGCAAUGCAUUGCCAAUGUGUAUGGGGGGCAUGAUGGUUUGUGAUGCAGCUGUUGGCGAAAGUCUGGGUGAAACAUUCUGUAGUGCAGAUCUUGGUGGUAGUAGC
rnacentral:rRNA from 1 species